rnacentral:rRNA from 1 species
ACGGGAGGCAGCAGUCGGGAAUAUUGCGCAAUGGAGGGAACUCUGACGCAGUGACGCCGCGUGCAGGAAGAAGGUUUUCGAAUUGUAAACUGCUUUAGACAGGGAAGAAAAAAGACAGUACCUGUAGAAUAAGCUCCGGCUAACUACGUGCCAGCAGCCGCGGUAAUACGUAGGGAGCGAGCGUUAUCCGGAUUUAUUGGGUGUAAAGGGUGCGUAGAUGGGAAUGCAAGUUAGUUGUGAAAUCCCUCGGCUUAACUGAGGAACUGCAACUAAAACUACAUUUCUUGAGUGCUGGAGAGGAAAGUGGAAUUCCUAGUGUAGCGGUGAAAUGCGUAGAUAUUAGGAGGAACACCGGUGGCGAAGGCGACUUUCUGGACAGUAACUGACGUUGAGGCACGAAAGUGUGGGGAGCAAACAGGAUUAGAUACCCUGGUA